UACGAUUGAAUAACACUUGAUUUGAUAUAGAAUUUAUGAAUCAUUAAACUAAUAACACAUGAUUUUAAUACAAAUUUUAAAAUCAUAGAACCAAUAACACUAGAUUUAGUUCAGAUUGUCAAAUACAUUAAAAUACAACAACCAAUAAUCCCUACCAAGUAAAAUAUACAAAUUUUCAAAUUUUCUCAGAUUAGUAUUUACCAAAUCCGAAGGUUUUUCCUCGGAUUUGAGCCUUUGUAUUUUUAACAAAGAAAUCCAUGCAAAUCCAUUCAAAUACAUUAUAAAAUCAAAUAUAUUAGUAAAUUCGUAUGAUUGAAUAACAGUUGAUUUGAAUUAGUUAUUAUAAAUCAUUAAACGAAUAACACAUGAUUUCAAUACAUAUUUUAAAAUCAUAAAACUAACAACACCAGAUUUAGUUUAGAUUCUCGGAUACAUCAAAAUACACAAACCAACGAUGUCAUGGCAAAAUACACAAACCAACGAUGUCAUGGACUUCUCUACGGGUUAAAUAAAAAACUCAAAAUGGGCAUUAGCCCAUAGUUUUAUGUACGUUUUUUUUUCUUUUUUUGGUCAAAGUUUUAUGUACGUUGUUUUGAUCAUUUAGGCCCAUAUAUUAUUUCUGCAAUUUAUACUCUCAUACUCAUAGCGAAGAGACUGACCUAGAUACAUAGAUCUCAUCUCCAUAUAACAGCUAAAAAAUGUAAAUCUCUAACGUAUCUUUCCUCCAAAUGGUCAACAGAGACUACACGACGCAGGAGCACGAAGGAUUACAGUAGCGGGACUACCACCAAUAGGAUGCCUUCCGGUGCAAGUAACACUUGGUACUGUCACUCUCCCUCGGAUCUUCCAUAAACGGAUCUGUACGGAAAACCAGAACACUGAUUCUCAGCUAUACAAUCAAAAGCUACUGAAGCUAAACUUCCUUCUCAGUCAGAGGCUUCGAGGCUCCAAAAUUCUUUACCUCGACAUCUACACUCCAAUAAUGGACAUGAUCAAACAUCCUCAUAAAUACGGAUUGGAAGAAACGUUAAAAGGAUGUUGCGGGACGGGGUUCCUUGAAGCAGGACCUCUAUGCAAGUCGUUGUCUGGAACUUGUGAUGAUGUUUCCAAGUAUUUGUUCUUCGAUUCUGUGCAUCCUACCCAAAAGGCUUACUCUGUCAUUGCUACUUACGCCUUACAAAAGUUGUUGCCUCUCCUCUAAUUUUUAUCCUGUUCUCUGCAAUUUUUUUAAAAGAAUGUUAUCACGUCCACAACACUUUUCGCAAGCUAACUGACAAAUAUAAACUUUUAAUUUUGUUACUA